rnacentral:rRNA from 1 species
CCUACGGGGGCAGCAGUGGGGAAUAUUGGACAAUGGGCGAAAGCCUGAUCCAGCAAUGCCGCGUGAGUGAAGAAGGCCUUCGGGUUGUAAAGCUCUUUUACCCGGGAAGAUAAUGACUGUACCGGGAGAAUAAGCCCCGGCUAACUCCGUGCCAGCAGCCGCGGUAAUACGGAGGGGGCUAGCGUUGUUCGGAAUUACUGGGCGUAAAGCGUACGUAGGCGGCUUUGUAAGUCAGGGGUGAAAGCCCACGACUCAAUCGUGGAACUGCCUUUGAGACUGCUUCGCUUGAAGAUGGGAGAGGUUAGUGGAAUUCCGAGUGUAGAGGUGAAAUUCGUAGAUAUUCGGAAGAACACCAGUGGCGAAGGCGGCUAACUGGACCAUUCUUGACGCUGAGGUACGAAAGCGUGGGGAGCAAACAGGAUUAGAUACCCUGGUAGUCCACGCCGUAAACGAUGAUAACUAGCUGUCGGGGCUCUUGGAGCUUCGGUGGCGCAGCUACGACAUUAAGUUAUCCGUCCGUCGGGUAGGUACGGCCGGCCGAACGGUUAAAACGUAACUAAACUAGUAAGUUAGUACGGACGUGAGACGUGCCGAACGGACGACGACGACGGGAGGUAGG